GGGUGAGCUCUGUACCUCACCGCUUCUGCAAAGAGCAGAGAUUCCCACCGAAGCCUUUGUUUUGCAGAAUUGGCCUGGCAGCCUUUCCAGGUGAUGAAUUUUGGAUGAGGAAAUAGCAGUCCUUGUCCCUGGCUUUGCAGGGUUAAUCUCAGCUCAGACACGUGUCCUGCUGCCGGCGUCCCCAGCGCCAGCCGGGAGGCGCUCAGGGCAGAGCUGAGGAGGGAGCUGCAGACCGGGAAAGACCCGUGACGACCGCAGCGCGGAUCCGCGGCAGAGCCGUGGAGCGCCUGUGGAGGGAGGGUGCUGUGUGCGCAUGCGCGCGCCCAUGGCUCACACCGGCGAGAUGCCGCAGAUGAGCUGCGUGCUCUGUUUGUAACCUCCCACCGCUCUUGUGCGGGCUUGGCAAGGAGGGGAGGGAGAUGAAAACUGAGCUGAAAAUUGAAACGAUGCUUGGAGGGGUUUAGGGGGCUGAUUCAACCCAUCACUCCCGAGGGAAGUGGGAGCGCAUGUGCCUCUUGAGCCUUGUGUUUUGCUGUCAAGCUUAGCACAGAUCCGCCUUGGCACAAAAUCAUUUGCAUUAACUCACUGGGAAAAGGAGAUGUAAGAACACAGUUAAACCACAAAGUACAGGAUUACAAUCUGAUAUGAAGAAAGAAAAGAAAUCUGGAGGAGAAGGAAAAAAAAACCUCAGUCUUUAUUUUUUAAUUAGUAUCCUUUGAACUGGCUGCAGGAGUGCUUGGUGAGGACAGUGGCUGUGUCAUGCCCGUGUUAGGCUCCAGCCUCUCUUGCCGAGUGUCACACAAGGGAGAUUUUGUAUUUAGGAACUUGUUACCAAUUGCCUAUAGCCCUCAGAGGGCUGGUCCCAGGGGGCACGUGUAGGUACAUGAUGAGACAUCAGCAUGCAAGAACCCUAAGCUCCACUGAAACCUGUCCUGCAGGGAGGAGGUGGGACUGGGGAGCUGGCAGAGCAACAGCAGUGCAGCGAGCAGUUCAUAGGGACCAAGGGAUGUGGGACCAUUUCGAGUCAUCCACUAAAAAUGCUUAGUGACAAAGUAGACUAAAAGAGAGUCAUGCAAGGGCAACAGACAAUUCAGCCAGGGCAAAUGUUUGCAGCAGCUGGCUCAGGACAGGGCCUUCAUCCCACACCCAUCUCCUUGACUUGGCGUCAGCCAAAUGCUGCACAGGCUGCUCCCUCUGUGCAGUCACAGCCCGCGUCCCUGCCUGGCCUGUUGUUUUCUCGUUUUGAUUCAGCACUCACUGCCAUGUUGUUCUCAGAGGUACAGGAUCUUCCUAGGAAAAUGCGUGCCCAUGGGGAGUUGCAAUGGGAACACCCAGGUCUCAUCUUCAGAGCCUCCUGCUUCCAACAUGCAGCAUGUGCACAGCCCAGCCCUCUCCUAAUCCCGGCCCUUCAUUGCCCCCAGCCCUCCUUGCAAAGGGCAAGAUGAGGACUGAGUCUCCACCAUCCCUUCAGUCCUCUUGGCUUUAUUCCAAAACUGCUAAUUAAAAAGCCAGUGUCGUCAGUGGUUUUUCUGAUGUGAAAACUUUUCCAUAAGGAACUGGUCCCAAAUCCACCAACUCAUUUCACAUUUAUUUUAAAUCUGAGCUUUACAUCAUGUAAUUUCCUCCAGGGCUUGAUUAUCUUCUUGGUAAAAACACUGUUGUUCUGGUUUGUGAGACCUAUAUUUAAUCUCGCCGUAAGGCCUCUGUACCUCACAGUACAGGGCUUAAACGCUGCCUCAGCUCCUGGCUUUGCCUUCCUAUUUAUAUGAAUCCAUUAAACAAGGUGCCAAUUCUGCUAUAUUGAGGGUGUUCUCCAGCCAUGGGGUGCCUGUCAGCAUUAACUUCUUGUUGCAGAAAUGGUCUCCUGAACCUCCUGACCUGAAGUCAUCCAAAGGUGCUCUCUUAAACGGUAGCAGACAACGUAUAAACAAGGAAUCGAAGGCACAGUCAGACAGGAUCCUUAUCUGUCUCUCUUAUUCCAGUGGCACUCAAGUCCUUCUCUGUAUUUCCCCUACAUGUGACAAGACCCAGACCUGCUGCCUGGAUGGCGUCCAGCCCUUCACCCGCACCCCCGGUCUCAGCCCAGCUCCCUAUGUUUGCAUGGCAGCUGCAGAGCUCCUAGGCUCUGGCGCUCAAAAGCGGCAUUCUCUGACAAAGAUGCUGGCUGACGUGGCCAGGAGAUGCGUGUAGGAACACACAAAUGGACUUUAAGAAGUGCUAUUUUCAAUUCUUCAGUUCAACUUUGAUGAUGGAUUUUCUAAAACCUUCUGGAACUAAAGACAGGCAAUGGCUCAAUUUUCUCUUACCAAUUAGGAUUCCCAGGCCAAAGGAGCCAUGACACAGCUUGGUUUGCCACAGGCCUUGGGAACUCAGAGGUGUGCAGAGGUACCUGAUGUAAUGGCCUAACUGCAACAGUUGUUUAACAAUGAGGUGAGCGUAAGGGGGGUCUGCAGAGAAAAGGAAAGUGAGAACAGUCAGGGCAGACAGAGAGAGAUCCAGUCCUUGGGAAUCUCUGGGAUGGAGCAGGCUCUUGCACUGAUACUUGUGGCUGAUGGCCUGGAGGCUGGGGGCUGCAGAAACAGCCAAAAAAUGCACUCCAGUGUGGGAGAAGUGAUGUGGCAGUGGCUUUUCUGUGGCAGGCUCCCCUCUGCCUUGAGGAGUGUGAAGCCCUUCAAGGCUGGGCUGCUGCUAAAUGCUUUGGGUAUGGUGUAUGCAUCUAACACACAAAGGCAUUUGAAAGGCACUGUGAGCCAAGGCCACAUGGACAAUGGUCAGAAUGACUGGCGUGCAAAAUUUGGAUACCAAAGCAUGGACCAAAUCAUCCGAUUGGGAAGUCUAGGAUUAAAGAGAAUGGCUAAACUUUAUAUUUUAUUUCCAUUCAUCAUUUCUGCUUAUGUGGGUGGACAAGGAGAGAAUGAGUUUCCUGGGGAGGGCAGCAGAUAAAAGAGGCACACAUUUCCUUGAAAGAUGUGUGUCUUUUUUCUUCUUUGCUCCUAGGUUAAUAUGCCAUAAAAGGGCUGGAGGUAACCCUGAUAGCUUUUCUAUCAUGAGCAAGAAACUGGCUAGUUCUUCACUUUUGUAGGGUCUUUCUCCCUUUGAUUGCUAGCUAUGUGCCGAGAGAGAAGUAAGUCUUUCUACCAUGGAUUUCAUGACUGUCCCAGGAUGAGUAGUCUGAAUUCUUGCAAAGGAGAGCUUGAGGUGCGAAAAAAAUGGACACCAAUGGAUUUGGUGUUCAGGCAUGUUUCCAAGCCUCUGUAAAACAUCUGACUGUUACAGGGGAGAAAGCUGUUCCCUUAAGGGGCUGGGGUGUGGGUGAGCGUCUCCAGAGCCUGCUGCCUUUUCACCAUCAGAGCUAUAGGGUAAAUAUAGGGGACUUAGACAGACCUCGUGCUGGGAGAAGGGUGGGGAGAUGGAGGGACAUGCUUGCAAUGCAUGCAUGCUUCUGAGGCUUGCCUGAAGCAGGAAAGAGCUGAGCACAGCCCUGUGCAGGCCAACACCAGCUCACACAGAGAGGCAUGGAGUGGAAGAGCCUUCCAUGGUCUGUUCCUCAUUCCACCAAAAGCCCCCUGUCUUUGACAGGAUUUACGCACAGUGGAUCUGCUGGAACAAUUAACAAUUAAUUUCAAUUAAUGUGUAAGAUGUUGAGGAUAUGCAACCCGCCUGCCUAUGCUGUUGGGGUCAACAUCUGGCAGAGGAUCUGCAGGGUUCCCUGAGACAGGGAAGGAUUUUGCCCUUGGGAUGCUGUGUUCUGUGGCAUCUGUCACUGAGCUGGGACCUUUGUGCCAGAAGCUCCUUUUGCAGAGGGGGACAGAGCCCAGGGCAGUGCUUUGCUCCGCAAACAUCCCUGAGAAGUAGCAAGGUUUGGGAUGUGGCAGGAGAGGUGGAACCUGUGCUGAGCUCGGAUGUUCCCUCUGUCUUUUAGGGUAGCAAACAUGAUGGGGGUUUUGCAGCAGCAAGGUAGGGGACAGAUGGGCUUUGAUGAAAUUAAAGCAGCUGGGAGGAUGAAACAGUUGUGUUCUGAAACUGUGGCUCUUCAUGGGAGAUCCCAGUUUGUGCCUGAAUGCAGAACAAACGGAUUUUUCUGGCUGACAAAGGGAAAAUAGGAAAGAUGAAGAAAAAAAAACACACACAAAAAAAACAAAACAGAAAAGAAGGGGUCUGGAUGAGUCAGAGACACAAACUUUAAAGAGCAGUUGCACUGAGGUGGAGCAGAAAAGUCUGGGCGCUGGUUGAUGACAGACACAGAACCUCUUUACUGAAAGAGGCAGUGGAUUUUGCAGUAGAGAGAGGCAGCUGGCAAGUAUUUUUAUGUACGCCACAAUUUUGACCAUAAGCAGAAUGAAAAUCUGAAAGAAAUGUGCCAGCCUUAAGACUAAGCAGAGAUGAUGACAGCUAACAACCGUGGUGAUGAAGCUGGAGAAAUCUGCCUCUGAGACAAAAUGAGGAGCCGAAGAGGGCACCAAGAUGUGAUAGCUGGUGAUGCAGACAGAGAAAAACAGGGAUGGGAGUAUUAUUCAGGCUUCAUCCUGUCAGAACCACAGUUGAGAUUGUGUUGGUGCCUACACCCAAGGCCUUGCCUUAUUCAUGUCAUAAGUCAAAAUGCCUGAGGAUUUCUAGAAGAGCAUGAUUUUCCAGAAGAAGCGAGGAAAGAAUUUAAUCCUAAAUUGUUUCUCAAAUGAUAACAGAAUGGCAAGCAUCUCUGGAGAUGGUGGCUGGUCGUCUUCACAACAACCAGGAAAAAUACUGCUGUAAGGAUGCAUGUGCAGUGCCUUUUCAUAAAGCCAUAUGUCCCAGUCUCCAAAAUGCCCCAGAUGCAGAAAAACCUCACUUUUAAAAACUGCCCCAUAGGCCUCACAGGUCUCUUGUGCUGAACUUCCUUCAUCUGUAGAACCACUGUGGUCCCAUUGGGAUUACAGCCAGUGAAGAAGAAAGAGACGGGGAUCAAAUGCCUGGGCAUUCAACCAUCUCUUCCAUGAGGUGCAGGGCAGAGUGGGGUCUGGAUCAAACAAUUGCAUCUGGUAUUUCCUAUGCCCAUAGGCAGGGGCCGUGCUGCUGUCUGGACAAAGCAUUACGGUAUGGGGCAUUUCCACAGAGAUGUGUGUCAAAAGCAGAGAGAAGCCAGGUGGCCUCCUGAAGCAUCCUGUCCUCCCUGCCAUGAGAAGCACUUCUGCCCUUCUCUCCCUCCACCUGUGUUCUUCUCCAGGCAUGCAGAGCCAUCCACUGGCCAUGUCCCAGUCGGUGCCUCCCUGGCCCUGCAGCUUUGUGCUGUCCGCGUGUCCAAAAUGCACACAAGGAAUGCUCCCUGAACCCUGCUGCGCCCUGUGCCUGAGUGCAGCAUCCCCACUCUCUUUCCAUUUUUUCCCUAAUGAUUCUGGCUGCAUUAUGUUAUAUGGAGAGCAAACCCUGAUCCUACCAUCUGCUCUCCCGCUCUGCCUGCUGGCUCCACAGCCUGCCUCACCACUUUGGGGGUUUACAUGAGGUGGUGAAGCUGCUGGGGUGGGGCUGUCCCUUUCCCUUGGUCACCACUGCGGUGUGGGCAUGGCUGUGUGUCCUUGCACAGGGCUGAACGCUGCCUCUGAGCCACCUCCAGUGAGGUGGCACCAUGGCGGCUCUUGCUCAGUGCAGAAUCCAGUGUGACAACAAAUAUGAAAUCCUCUGCAGCUAAUUAAUUAUCUCAGAUCCCUUCCAUAUUACAGGGGGUGGGCAGCAAGGCUUUGGGAGUGCAGAUACUUUAGGAUCAGCUUUGAAAAUAAACCCGAAUAAGCCACUUUUUUGGAGAUUAAACUGACUCCUCCUGGAAACCACUGCAGGGGAAGAGCACUUGUUUAUUAAAAAGAGACAGAAGGGAUCAGGGCAUGAAAGGAGGCUUUGUCUCCUCGGCUAUUACCUUACUCCAUUUGACGGUACUUUAAUGCUUUUUUCUUCAGGUGUGCAGGGAACCUCAGACACAAAACUGCCACCUUCAAAAGCAUCAGGCACGGAGGGUUCUGCGCAUCAGGGAAGCCCAUACCACCUGCAGCAGCCCCCAAAUGAGUGCAUCUUUGGCGGCACCGGGCCGGGGGGCUGCGAAUGCCUAGGGGUUCGGGAGGAGUUCGCUCCAUGUCCGAUCGGGCUGAGUCCCCGGGGACCCCCCGGCUCUGCAGGAGCACGGGAAGGCCAGAGACGAGGGAUCCCCUCUGCUGCACAGGGCAUCCCCGGGGGACUCUCCGGCAUCUCCCCCGUCGAGGGCAGGGAAUCGAGGUGGG